rnacentral:rRNA from 1 species
UACGUAGGGAGCAAGCGUUGUCCGGAAUCAUUGGGCGUAAAGCGCGUGUAGGCGGUUACAUAAGUCUGUUGUGAAAGUCGGAGGCUCAACCUUCGAAAGCCGAUGGAUACUGUGUGACUUGAGUACGGAAGAGGAGAGUGGAAUUCCUGGUGUAGCGGUGAAAUGCGCAGAUAUCAGGAGGAACACCAACGGCGAAGGCAGCUCUCUGGGACGUUACUGACGCUGAGACGCGAAAGCGUGGGAGCAACAGG